rnacentral:rRNA from 1 species
AUGGCGGCAGCUCGGGAGGCGUCGAGGGCAGCUUCCCCCGUCGCUGCGGCCGCCGGAGUUCUCCUGGUCCUCGCCGUCCUCCUCACAGAGCAUGUGAUUGUGGCGAAUGCCCUGUCCAUCGGCGUCAACUACGGGCAGAUCGCCAACAACCUCCCUGCGCCGGGGCGGGUGUCGACGCUGCUCCGGUCGAUCAAGAUCAGCAAGGUGAAGCUCUACGACGCCGACCCGCACGUCCUGCGCGCGUUCCUCGGCACGGGCGUCGAGUUCGUGAUCGGCAUCGGCAACGAGCACGUCCCGGCAAUGGUCAGCUCCACGGUGGCGCAGGCGUGGCUCCAGCAGCACGUGGUGCCGCACCUCCACGCCGGGGCGCGCAUCACCUGCAUUACCGUGGGCAACGAGGCGUUCAAGGGCAACGACACCGUCCUGCAGGCCAGCCUCCUGCCCGCCAUGCACUCCGUGCACCAGGCGCUCGGGGCGCUCGGCCUGCAGGGCCGCGUGAACGUCACCACCGCGCAUUCGCUGGACAUCAUGGGCGUCUCCUACCCGCCCUCCGCCGGCACGUUCGCUCCGGGCGCCGUGUCGCACCUGCAGCCGUUCCUCAAGUUCCUGUCGGCGACGAGGGCCCCGUUCCUCAUCAACUGCUACCCGUUCUUCGCCUACAAGGACGACCCGGCGCGCGUGCCGCUGGACUACGUGCUCUUCCAGCCCAACGCCGGCGUCACCGACCCCAACACGGGGCUCAACUACGACAACAUGCUGUACGCGCAGGUGGACGCCGUCUACUCGGCCAUCAAGGCGCUGGGGCACACGGACGUGGACGUCAAGGUCUCCGAGACCGGGUGGCCGUCCCGGGGCGACCCCGACGAGAUCGGCGCCACGCCGCAGCACGCCGGGACGUACAUCGGGAACCUGCUGAGGAGGAUAGAGAUGAAGCAGGGUACGCCGCUGCGGCCGGCGGUGCCCAUCGACGUCUACGUGUUCGCGCUCUUCAACGAGAACCUCAAGCCCGGCCCGGCGUCGGAGCGCAACUACGGGCUGUUCUACCCCGACGGCACGCCGGUCUACAACGUCGGCCUCCGCGGCUACCUGCCGCCCAUGGCGGAUUCACACGGAGCACGGCAGGUACGGCUUCUUGAUUCGCUUGCUCGAUCAGCGCAUGCAUAUGCAUUUACAUAG